rnacentral:rRNA from 1 species
UAUUUUAUCGCAUGAUAGAUAUAUCAAAGCGUUAGCGGUACAGGAUGGACCCGCGUCUGAUUAGCUAGUUGGUAAGGUAAAGGCUUACCAAGGCGACGAUCAGUAGCCGACCUGAGAGGGUGAUCGGCCACAUUGGAACUGAGACACGGUCCAAACUCNUACGGGAGGCAGCAGUGGGGAAUAUUGCACAAUGGGCGAAAGCCUGAUGCAGCAACGCCGCGUGAGCGAAGAAGGCCUUCGGGUCGUAAAGCUCUGUCCUCAAGGAAGAUAAUGACGGUACUUGAGGAGGAAGCCCCGGCUAACUACGUGCCAGCAGCCGCGGUAAUACGUAGGGGGCAAGCGUUAUCCGGACUUACUGGGCGUAAAGGGUGCGUAGGCGGUCUUACAAGUCCAGGAGUGAAAGGCUACGGCUCCAACCGUAGUAAGCUUUUGAAACUGUUAGACUUGAGUGCAGGAGAGGAGAGUGGAAUUCCUAGUGUAGCGGUGAAAUGCGUAGAUAUUAGGAGGAACACCAGUUGCGAAGGCGGCUCUCUGGACUGUAACUGACGCUGAGGCACGAAAGCGUGGGGAGCAAACAGGAUUAGAUACCCUGGUAGUCCCACGCUGUAAACGAUGAGUACUAGCUGUCCGGAGGUUACCCCCUUCGGUGGCGCAGCUAACGCAUUAAGUACUCCGCCUGGGAAGUACGCCCGCAAGAGUGAAACUCAAAGGAAUUGACCGGGGACCCGCACAAGUAGCGGAGCAUGUGGUUUAAUUCGAAGCAACGCGAAGAACCUUACCCUAAGCUUGACAUCCUACUGACCCUUCCCUAAUCGGAAGUUUCCCUUUGGGGACAGUAGAGACAGGUGGUGCAUGGUUGUC